rnacentral:lncRNA from 1 species
AUAUCUGAGGAGGAAAUCAAAUUAUUAGUUUCUUCGUAUAGGCGUAGGUGACAAGCCAGUACACAAAUUUCUCAAGAAACUUAUUAUCUAUCCUUGUUAUCAGUCCAUUAAAUGUCAAAGUACUCAGACAAAUAAAUAUGACUACGUUCUAAAUAAGAUAAUUUUGCUAUUUAUAUUGCGCGGGAAUAAAGUUAACGAGGUCUCGGCAAAAUUGAAUUUAGCGUCGAGGUUUUAUAACUUUGAGAGAUAUGAUAAUUGUCUCCAAGUACUUGAUGUCGCUCUUGAAUGGAUCAGGAAUGCCGUGUACACUUUCGAGCUUUCCACAGUGUUUCAACAUCAAUCAGUCAACAGCCAAGUUAUUUUACAAUCAUAUCAUUUCAGACAAAUUGCCAUGAAAUUUCAUUUGGAA